GCCCAGCAGACGGACAGUGGGAAUGGAGGAGGCAGGACCCAGCCACAAAGAUCAUUGCCACCGAGGAGAGCAGGAGAGCAACCUCCUGGCUGGCAGGGAUGACGGUCACCCUCACAUCACCACACACACUGAGCAAACAAGGAGGCGGAUGCUGAGAGGCAAAGGAGCUGAGAGCAGACGACAAGUGAGUGGGCAGGGAUUCUCCCAAGGACUUGGAUUCCAGAGCCAGGCUUUGAAGUCCGGUCUGCUGAGCACCAACCACGUGCUGGAUGCUGUGGUGGGCACUGGGGAUGCCGUGAGAAAGGAGACACCAGUGUAGACAAGAGCUGUCAGUAAAGGCUUCGUGGAAGAGCCAAUGAAACCUUCCACCACAGAAUUAAAGAUACCGCAUAAAAGGCCCUUUUCCCCAACUGGCAGCGAAACGUCGUUAAACACAAGUGAGCACACAGAUGCCCGAGAAAGGACAUAUAAACCUGACGUGUUCACACACAGGGUGGCUUCACGUCAGCACACCACCCCAGGAGCUGGUCCUGGCCGUGGGCUGCCAACGACGCUUACCUCUGGUCUGCAGCAAACCCAGAUGCUGACAUCAGAUGAGCCACACGGCGGGGACUGUCUGGGCUCAUC